GACGAACGCUGGCGGCGUGCUUAACACAUGCAAGUCGAACGGAAAGGCCCUGCUUUUGGGGGGUGCUCGAGUGGCGAACGGGUGAGUAACACGUGAGUAACCUGCCCUUGACUUGGGGAUAACUUCAGGAAACUGGGGCUAAUACCGGAUAGGAGCUCCUGCUGCAUGGUGGGGGUGGGAAAGUUUCGGCGGUUGGGGAUGGACUCGCGGCUUAUCAGCUUGUUGGUGGGGUAGUGGCUUACCAAGGCUUUGACGGGUAGCCGGCCUGAGAGGGUGACCGGCCACAUUGGGACUGAGAUACGGCCCAGACUCCUACGGGAGGCAGCAGUGGGGAAUAUUGCACAAUGGGCGGAAGCCUGAUGCAGCAACGCCGCGUGCGGGAUGACGGCCUUCGGGUUGUAAACCGCUUUCGCCUGUGACGAAGCGUGAGUGACGGUAAUGGGUAAAGAAGCACCGGCUAACUACGUG
rnacentral:rRNA from 1 species